CACGUAGGGCGCAGGCGUUGUCCGGAAUUAUUGGGCGUAAAGAGCUCGUAGGCGGUCUGUUGCGUCUGCUGUGAAAACUCGGGGCUUAACCCCGAGCCUGCAGUGGAUACGGGCAGACUAGAGGUAGGUAGGGGAGAAUGGAAUUCCCGGUGUAGCGGUGAAAUUCGUAGAUAUCGGGAGGAACACCGGUGGCGAAGGCGGCGACCUGGGUAGAUACUGACGCUGAGGUGCGAAAGCGUGGGGAGCAAACAGG
rnacentral:rRNA from 1 species